CAAUAGCGUAUAUUUAAGUUGUUGCAGUUAAAAAGCUCGUAGUUGGAUUUCGGGUGGGACGCAGCGGUCUCGCAUUGCGUUUGUACUGCUGCAGCCCUCCUUCUUGCCGGGGGCGGCCUCUCGGACAUCACUGUCUGGGGGUCAGAAUCGGCGAUGUUACUUUGAGUAAAUUAGAGUGUUCAAAGCAAGCUUACGCUCUGAAUAUAAUAGCAUGGGAUAACACGACAGGACUCUGGCCUAUCGUGUUGGUCUAUAGGACCAGAGUAAUGAUUAAGAGGGACAGUCGGGGGCAUUCGUAUUCCGUUGUCAGAGGUGAAAUUCUUGGAUUUACGGAAGACGAACAUCUGCGAAAGCAUUUGCCAAGGAUGUUUUCAUUGA
rnacentral:rRNA from 1 species